AUUGAACGCUGGCGGCAUGCCUUACACAUGCAAGUCGAACGGCAGCACGGGAGCAAUCCUGGUGGCGAGUGGCGAACGGGUGAGUAAUAUAUCGGAACGUGCCCAGUAGUGGGGGAUAACUGCUCGAAAGAGCAGCUAAUACCGCAUACGACCUGAGGGUGAAAGGGGGGGAUCGCAAGACCUCUCGCUAUUGGAGCGGCCGAUAUCAGAUUAGCUAGUUGGUGGGGUAAAGGCCUACCAAGGCAACGAUCUGUAGUUGGUCUGAGAGGACGACCAGACACACUGGGACUGAGACACGGCCCAGACUCCUACAGGAGGCAGCAGUGGGGAAUUUUGGACAAUGGGCGCAAGCCUGAUCCAGCAAUGCCGCGUGCAGGAAGAAGGCCUUCGGGUUGUAAACUGCUUUUGUCAGGGAAGAAAUCCUCUAGGUUAAUACCCUUGGGGAGAUGACGGUACCUGAAGAAUAAGCACCGGCUAACUACGUGCCAGCCGCCGCCGUAAGAC
rnacentral:rRNA from 1 species